AUUGAACGCUGGCGGCAGGCCUAACACAUGCAAGUCGAGCGGGGUUUUCGGACCUAGCGGCGGACGGGUGAGUAAUGCGUAGGAAGCUACCCGAUAGAGGGGGAUACCAGUUGGAAACGACUGUUAAUACCGCAUAAUGUCUACGGACCAAAGUGUGGGACCUUCGGGCCACAUGCUAUCGGAUGCGCCUACGUGGGAUUAGCUAGUUGGUGAGGUAAUGGCUCACCAAGGCGACGAUCCCUAGCUGGUUUGAGAGGAUGAUCGGCCACACUGGAACUGGGACACGGUCCAGACUCCUACGGGAGGCAGCAGUGGGGAAUAUUGGACAAUGGGCGCAAGCCUGAUCCAGCCAUGCCGCGUGUGUGAAGAAGGCCUUCGGGUUGUAAAGCACUUUCAGUAGGGAGGAAGCGUUGUGUGUUAAUAGUACACAGCGUUGACGUUACCUACAGAAGAAGCACCGGCUAACUCUGUGCCAGCAGCCGCAGUAAAAC
rnacentral:rRNA from 1 species